rnacentral:rRNA from 1 species
AACGAACGCUGGCGGCAUGCCUAACACAUGCAAGUCGAACGAAGGCUUCGGCCUUAGUGGCGCACGGGUGCGUAACGCGUGGGAAUCUGCCCUUUGGUUCGGAAUAACAGCUGGAAACGGCUGCUAAUACCGGAUGAUGACGAAAGUUCAAAGAUUUAUCGCCAGAGGAUGAGCCCGCGUUGGAUUAGGUAGUUGGUGGGGUAAAGGCCUACCAAGCCGACGAUCCAUAGCUGGUCUGAGAGGAUGAUCAGCCACACUGGGACUGAGACACGGCCCAGACUCCUACGGGAGGCAGCAGUGGGGAAUAUUGGACAAUGGGCGCAAGCCUGAUCCAGCAAUGCCGCGUGAGUGAUGAAGGCCCUAGGGUUGUAAAGCUCUUUUACCCGGGAAGAUAAUGACUGUACCGGGAGAAUAAGCCCCGGCUAACUCCGUG